GAUGAACGCUGGCGGCGUGCCUAAUACAUGCAAGUCGAGCGAACGGACGAGAAGCUUGCUUUUCUGAUGUUAGCGGCGGACGGGUGAGUAACACGUGGAUAACCUACCUAUAAGACUGGGAUAACUUCGGGAAACCGGAGCUAAUACCGGAUAAUAUUUUGAACCGCAUGGUUCAAAAGUGAAAGACGGUCUUGCUGUCACUUAUAGAUGGAUCCGCGCUGCAUUAGCUAGUUGGUAAGGUAACGGCUUACCAAGACAACGAUGCAUAGCCGACCUGAGAGGGUGAUCGGCCACACUGGAACUGAGACACGGUCCAGACUCCUACGGGAGGCAGCAGUAGGGAAUCUUCCGCAAUGGGCGAAAGCCUGACGGAGCAACGCCGCGUGAGUGAUGAAGGUCUUCGGAUCGUAAAACUCUGUUAUUAGGGAAGAACAUAUGUGUAAGUAACUGUGCACAUCUUGACGGUACCUAAUCAGAAAGCCACGGCUAACUACGUG
rnacentral:rRNA from 1 species